AUUAGCCCUGACAAAUAGCGAUUUGAUCCCACAGGGCAACUCCUAUUGAAAACCAAGAUAACACAAAUAUUUUCAAUUCUUCAAGUUGAACCCAGCCUAAGUAUUUUGUUUUGUGGGUGAUCUCUCUGCUCUUUUAUUAAGGGAAGAUCAUUUUAUGAGAGCUAAGAGUAUUUGCAUUCCUAGCAUGGGAAGAAGUUUAAAUUCCCAACCAACACAUUGUUCAAGCAAGUAAAAAGAACUGGAGAGUUUCCGCAAGUUUAGGAUCUGCGGAGAGGAAGAUAUGCCAGUGGGAAGUCACUGUGGAAGACAGUUUGGCAGUUUCCUACAAAACUAAGCCUACCCUUACCGUACCCUCUAGCUAUCCUGCUCCUCGGUAUUGACCCAAAGGAACUGAAAACGUGUCCACACGCAUACCUGCACUCGGAUGUUUAUAGCAGCUUCAUUCAUAACUGCCAAAACUUGGAAAGAACCAAGACGUUCUUCAGGAGGUAAAUGGAUAAAUAAACUGUGGUGUUAUCCGGACAGUGGAAUAUUAUUCAGUUCUGAAAAGAAAUGAGCUAUCAAACCAUGAAAAGACGUGGAGGAAACUUAAAGGCAUAUUACUAAGUGAAAGAAGCCAAUCUGAAAAGAUGACAUAUGGUAUGACCCCCAACUAUGUGACAUUCUGGGAAAGGCAAUAUUACAAAAGUAAAGAGAUCAGUAGUCGCCAGGGGUUUGCAGGGAGAGAAGGGGAGAAUAACGGGUGGAGCACGGGGGAUUUUCAGGAAGUGAAACUCUUCUGUAUGAUACCACGAGGGUAGAUACAUGUAGUCAUACAUUUGUCAAAACCUAUAGAACGUAACCAGUGUACAACCAAAGAGUACCAAUAAUGUAAGCUGUGGACUUUGGAUAAUGAUGUGUCACUGUUGCUUCACAGAUUGUAACAAAACAGAGUGUGGGAUGUUGAUGGUGGGGAAGCCGGGUGUGUGUGUGUGGGAGGGGGAGGGUUAUGUAGG
rnacentral:lncRNA from 1 species